AAACUCUUUUCUGUGACUGUCUGUUAAGCAGCAUUUAGGUAAGUCCCAUUUUUUUCCACAAUUUUAAAUUAUAUCUAUAUUUAUAUCUCUGUAUACCCUAGGAAAUCUAUACCAGCAGGGCACUUUACAGAGUAAAAUACAUGUGAUAAUCUUUUAAAACCAAAGAGAAAAUUGUUUCAGCAGAGGAACAUGUGAAAUUGUACAGAACACUAAAAUUGGAAUGUGCAUGUAUGAUACAUACCCAAACUCCUAUUAUAAAAUAUUCCCAGCAUUUAAACCACUACUGGGUGAAUUUGGGAUGAUAUUUUAUUUGCCUUCUUCUUCUUCUUUUUUAAAUGAGACGUUCUUUGAAAAAUGACAAAAAGGUAAAUAGUUUUACAAAGCAACAACCUAAUCAGUCUCUCAAGCAGAAUAUAAAUCAUGGAUUUCAUUAACUGUUGGUAGCCAGUUUAAAUUGUAGUCUUGUCCAUAAUGUCUAUCUAUCUAUGUAUGUCCGAGUUAUAUUAAAAACCUUUAAAUGGCUUUGUAAUACCAGCCACAUCUAGCUAUUAUAAUAAUUAAUGACAGUGUUUUAUAAAUCAAUAUAUGUAUUCUUGAUAAAUUCAUAUCCAGUUAAUGGUGUAAUUUAAAUAAAAAAUUAAUGCAAUAAAGGACAUACAGGCAUAGGCAGAAAAUCUUUAAAGGUUAAGAGGCAAAUUUGUCUAAAUUCUUUUUUUAUUUUUCAUUUUUAAAAACCUCUCAUUUUUUAGGGCAGCAGGCUUGGGGGGAAGAAUUGCCCGCUGAAACCCAUUUGCCUAAAAGAGUCAACCUUAUAUUUUGUUUGCCAUUUGGUUUUACUAUUAUCUAUAAUUUCGCAAGCCUGAUGCUUCAGAGUCUGUACUUCUGUAGAAGAUUUAGGUUACAACAAAUCAGGAGUUAGAGCAGGUGCUCUCAGCAUGGAUUCAAGGGGUGGGGGAAAGGGAGCCCUUUUUAAAAUGUAAUUUUACGUUUUUUAAAUUUAUGAACUUCUUAUUCCAGAUUUUGGUAGGUGAAUGUUCUUUAUUAUAUGUGUGCUCCAUAUUCCAUAAAUAUGAAAACGCAGCUCCAAAAUCAUAAACGCAUUGCAAUGAUUGUGUAAAUCCUCAAGAAUGUUUUCAGCCAACAGAAAUAUGUUCCUUAUCUGCUGUUCUAAGUACAGUUAAUCCAGUUUAUUCAAAAAAAUAACAUGGGAGUAACUUGGAGGGGGGGGGGAAACUUAUCAUCCCCCUCCUUUCCUCCCUAAGCUGCACAUUCAUAUUAAAUUACAUAAAGUUUCUUUUAUGGGUUAUUGUAUAGUUUACAGUUUAUUUAUAGCCUAUAACAAAAUGCAUCCUGAAAAAUAACACAAGGUUAGAAAAACAACAAUGCUCACUGUGUCUUAUCACCCACAGCAAUCUUAAACAUAUAAUAAUAAUUGUUGCUUGUUUAUAUGUUGAACAUUAAGCAAGGAAUAGCUCACCAAAUUUAUGCAAAAAAUUAAGCAUGGCUAUUGAGGCUGACAUGAUGCAGAAAUGUUACUUUAAUCCGGAGAGAUUUGUUUCUGACAUUUUUCUUAACAUUGCAUUGCCUUAUUUAGAACAGUAAAAGUGAUUCGUCCAAUCUCCCUUGACAAGGAUGGAGGGCUGCAAGAUCCCUCACGGAAGGAAAAAGGAAUGGAUUUGCUGUUCUUUCACUUUAAUAAUACACCUUCAUAGCCAAUUUUUAUUGUUUAAAAGUUUACAUUUGCAUUUCCACAUGAAAUUAUAUAUAGUUCAGUGCUUGCUGGAGGGGCAGGGAGAGGAGAGAUAAAAAUAAAAGUACAGUUAAUAAGUGCACGUCAAAGUGAGCUGGAAUAAUGCAAUCCAUUUAAGAUGUAUUGUGAUUUUAGGGAGAGAAAAAACAUGCCACAGAUUUCUAGGAAACCUAAUAAAAGAAUACAUCAACUGGUACAGAUAAGUGAAACAAUGAAAUAUGUCAAGUUUUUAAAUAUAUAUCUUCAUCUUCCAUUGUAUUUUUCCUCUUGGGACUACAUAUGUUGCUCUCAACUAGCUCCGCCUCCGGAUUACACUAUGCAACAACAACAACAACAACCAGCUACCUGAAUCUUAGGCUUUAUUAGUCUUUCAGCACUUUAAGGAUAUAUCCUCUUCAUUACAUGAAGUGAAACAGCAAUCUUUAAAAUACUGAUCCGCAAAUAUCUGUAAUGUUUUUUUUAAAAAAGUGUUUUAAUCAAAUGUAGGACGUUUCAUUUUUUUUUUACGUACAAAUCACAAUAUUUCUCCACUUAAAUGAAUGUUGUCUGCUUUUAACUCACUAUGCUCAUUUUGAGGGUAAAAAUCAAUGUACCUGAUAAUUCUGCUAAAAUUAUUUCCCCCCCUCAGAAUGUCUAUCAAGCAGCCUAAUAUAUGACCAGUUAAUAUUUAGAUUUAGGUGGAUUUAGUCUUGCUAACUUCCACAGGACUCUCAAGAAAAUCCUCUACAGCUAAUUGGCAUAUAUAAAACACUUACUUUUGGAGCUCUCCUUUUUUACUCCAAUGAGACCAUUUUCUGGAAUAGACAGUUUAAGGCUUUGCUAUUGACAGGCCAAAAUCCAAGCAGGGGAGUUUAACUGGUUUGUGGAUCAAACAUUUUGUUUCCUUGUGUGGUUAUCCCCCCUUGAGCCAUGUGAAGUGGAUUAGCAUCACACCCACAAGUUCUCUCAGGAUUCAAACCUGAUUUCAGAAGAAGCAGCAUCCGUGUAAACAAAUGCCUGUCCCAGCUGUGUAGAGUCAGCUCUCAUCUGCAGGUAUUUACAUCCACAAAACCACAUUGUGAGAGCCAAGGAAAUUAUGCAACAACAGUGACUUGUUAAAUAGCUUUUCCUCAUCAGAUAAGGACAAGUUUAAGGAGCCCUCGAGGCAAAGUGUACUGAUCUGGCCAGCUGACGGAGACCAAGAUACAGGUAAUUAUUGCUAUCACAGAACAAUGGGUUAAAAGAAGGAAUUGGCCUCAUCCCUUCAACUGGACCGAGAGGGAGUUUAUAAGGAUAUCCUGUUUGGAACAUCGUAAAUGUACGAUCAGCUUUGGCAGCUAUAAGCUGGCAAAUGUGUUGAAGAAAUCAGAGAACACUUCUCAGUAAUAGCACAAUCCAAUUGGUUAAAAACAUCUGACAGAUAUGACCAUUCUCUGCAGCCCACAUCAUCCCAAUUCCACCGGUCAGGCAGAGCAUUUAAGAAAAGCAACAGUCUUCGCUGCACAGCAAAGCUGCUUUGCUUCUUCGCAUUCCUUGUGAGCACCAAUUCCCUGUGACUGAAAACAGUCCUUGCUUAUUAAGAUGCUAAAGCUUUUCCUCUAGAGGACAUACUAAUUUCUGUGCAGGAAUCACAUGGUGUUGUAGGAAGAGUCCCGGUUUCCGAGGCAGACAUCAUGAUUUAAGGAGGCAGAAGCUGAGCAUCACUGCAAUUUCAGUGUUAAAAGCAGUAAUCUGUUUAUGAGCUUUUUGCCUGAAGUUACAUAAAAAAAACCAAAACCAGAGGAUGUGGGGAUAAACACACACAUGACAACAUGCAACAACAAACAAACAGCUGGUUUAAAAGAACCAAACAUUUUGCUUAUAAUUAUUGAGCUCAGUGUAACUAACCAUUCUGGGCGGAUUCGCCUUUUGAGAAUAUUUCUCGCUUGGCGGACAGCAAGUUGCCAAAGGCUUCUUCCGUGCCAUGCAGAGGAUUCGAGUAGCCAUGAUAAGAAAUGUAUUGCAAUUUUAAAAGGCUCAUACAAAGCCACUGGGAAGGGGGUGGAAUCUAAACAAAGGAUGUGUAAGCAAUUUCAUUUAUUUUGAUAAACCUCCCUCCUGCUCAAGAGCAUUUUGCUGUCUUUGUCAAAGUGAAUGACAACAAUUUGGCCAACUCUCUCUAAGCCACACUCAGCAGUGACAGGCAAAUUAUCAGAGGCCCUGCACUCCUUAUUAUCAGAGGAGAAGUCAUCAGGAGGACGCGUGGAGGAUCCCUCUCCCCUGUCACUAUUUGUCAGUGGGACAAGGGCCACUGCUAUGGGGAGCUGACAGGUAAUUUCAACAAUAACAAUUACUCCUAUUACUGGUGUCAUAAACAAUUCGCCCAAGGCAUGACAAUAGCAAAGCUUUAUAAUUCAAUGCCAUAUAAAUAAAUGCCAGCAGGUAACAAGUAAUUUAGCUCCAAUCAAGCCUUGGCCCCAGCAUUAAUAUUGUUAUUGCACGAAAAUGGAAAAUUGAAAAAAAAAAUUCAAUAAGUUAAUGAAUUAAGAAAGGGUUCAAGGGCUAGCAAAGAGCAGCAGCUUUAAAAUCACCCUUUAAGAUCCAUUUUGCAUUUGCAAUACUGUACAUUUACUAUUUCACAAGAUAACACCAGAGGCAUACUUGUGUUUCUGCCCUAGAGAAAAUGUGAAUUUCAUUGUAUUCGUGUUUGUCUUCAGUUAUUAAACUUCAUAUUUAAAAUGUACAUUAAGAACCAAUGCGUCCCCUGCACUUCCCUAUUUGUUUUAAUACAGACAAAAAUCGAAUUGAAGAGGUCAUACGGCUUAAGAUAAGCUAUUAGCAGCCUGAUCCACAGCCCAGUUGAAGAGGAUACUGGAACUUACAUCAGGUUUAACCCUGUUAAGUUCAAUAUAGCAGCAAUUCAUAUUUACUAAGCCGUGAAUUAGGCUAAGAAGGUGUAGUUCAAAAUUCAGUACAUUGUAUUUUUCCUUUUCCAUUCAGGUUUGAUGAGACAGCAACUGAAAGUUGUUUUAUUGUACAUAUAUAUGUUGCAAUAAAAUGCUCUUUUCUCU
rnacentral:lncRNA from 1 species